GUAAAUUUUCAUGUUUAUGUUCAUUGAUAUGUUAGAUAAGAUUGUGUUACUUGUCAUAUCAGAUUUUUCCAUUAGAAAACUUUUUCAUAUUUUUCUAUCAAAAGUUAGAUAUAACCAAUUGUAAAAAGUUAUGGUUCCAAAGUAUCAGUUUGUAUCAUAUAUGUACUAUUAAAAUGACAACUUUUACAUUGAACUGUAUACAGAGGGCUAUAAAUUGAAAUUACAAGUAAUCCACAAGGCCAUUAAUAAUAUAGGAACUGCUUUAUUUAUUAAGAUGCAUGCAUGCAUGGUUAUAAAGUUUUGAAAGUUGUGACUCAAUUAUUUUGUUUAUUUGAAAGAUUCACCGGUUACUCGGUAAACAUGAGUAAUGACUGACCUGAUGACCACCACAAAGUUUACAUUAUAUGCAUUGUUUUGUUUUAUAAAUAAGAUGUGAGCGACAACCCACUUAAACAAUUAUUUUGGAUAAAAUACCCAAAAAAAUUAGAAGCUAACAUUUUUUUAUUUGUUUUAAGAAGGGGUUCAUCUCUCAUAGAUUAUUUUUAAUGACAUCCUAUUAAAUUGAGAUACGUUAAUCAUUUGAAGAAUAAAUCUAAAAAUUUAACAAAUAUUUUGAAAUAUUAUUCAUAUCUCAAAGACUAAAUUAGUAAUUUUAUAUUGGUAAUUUUGCCAUGUUUUGACAUUUUCAAAUCUAACGGUCACAAACACAUGGUUUAAGAAUGCUGAUUAUUUUAAAAUGUUACCUUUUAUGAAAAUUCCAUAAAUUGCUGCUGAAACAAACAAAUUAAAAGUUGAUGAGAGUAUAGCCUUCAAUGUAGUGAAUCAAAUCUAAGAUAUUUUUAGACUAUAACUCUUUCUUACAUGAAUAACAUUGUAUUUGAAAAUGGUAAAUGACAACGGGUAAACAGAUUGAAAUAUAAUGAAUAUAUAAUGAAUUAUCAUUGUUAUGAAAUUGUAGAUCAUACAUCUAUUUAUUUUGGUUGUAGUAAGGAAAUGAUAUUAUUAUAUUUAUAACAAGGAAUUAGUGUUUUAUUGCCUGUAUUGUUAUUAUA
rnacentral:lncRNA from 1 species